rnacentral:rRNA from 1 species
GAGUUUGAUCCUGGCUCAGAUUGAACGCUGGCGGCAUGCUUUACACAUGCAAGUCGAACGGUAACGCGGACUUCGGUCUGGCGACGAGUGGCGAACGGGUGAGUAAUGCAUCGGAACGUGUCCAUUUGUGGGGGAUAGCCCGGCGAAAGCCGGAUUAAUACCGCACAAUCUCUUCGGAGGAAAGUGGGGGACCCUCGGGCCUCACGCAGAUGGAGCGGCUGAUGUCGGAUUAGCUUGUUGGUAGGGUAAAAGCCUACCAAGGCAACGAUCCGUAGCUGGUCUGAGAGGAUGAUCAGCCACACUGGAACUGAGACACGGUCCAGACUCCUACGGGAGGCAGCAGUGGGGAAUUUUGGACAAUGGGGGCAACCCUGAUCCAGCCAUGCCGCGUGCGGGAAGAAGGCCUUCGGGUUGUAAACCGCUUUCAGACGGAAAGAAACAGUGCAAGUUAAUAACUUGCAUCAAUGACGGUACCGUCAGAAGAAGCACCGGCUAACUACGUGCCAGCAGCCGCGGUAAUACGGAAGGUCCAAGCGUUAAUCGGAAUUACUGGGCGUAAAGCGCGCGUAGGUGGUUUAUUAAGUUGGAUGUGAAAUCCCCGGGCUCAACCUGGGAACUGCAUCCAAAACUGAUUCACUAGAGUACGAUAGAGGGAGGUAGAAUUCACAGUGUAGCGGUGGAAUGCGUAGAUAUUGUGAAGAAUACCAAUGGCGAAGGCAGCCUCCUGGAUCUGUACUGACACUGAGGUGCGAAAGCGUGGGUAGCGAACAGGAUUAGAUACCCUGGUAGUCCACGCCGUAAACGAUGUCAACUAGCUGUUGGAAAGCAUUGCUUUUCAGUGGCGCAGCUAACGUAGUAAGUUGACCGCCUGGGGAGUACGGCCGCAAGGUUAAAACUCAAAUGAAUUGACGGGGACCCGCACAAGCGGUGGAGCAUGUGGUUUAAUUCGAUGCAGCGCGAAAAACCUUACCUACUCUUGACAUACUUGGAGGCUCUUGUAAUGAGAGUGUGCCUUUUGGAACCAAGAUACAGGUGCUGCAUGGCUGUCGUCAGCUCGUGUCGUGAGAUGCUCCGUUAAGUCGGAUAACGAGCGCAACCCUUACCCUUAUUUGCCAGCGAUUCGGUCGGGAACUAUAAGGGGACUGCCGGUGAUAAACCGGAGGAAGGUGAGGACGACGUCAAGUCAUCAUGGCCCUUACGAGUAGGGCUACACACGUGCUACAAUGGGAGAUACAGACGGACGCUAAGCCGCGAGGUGGUGCUAAUCCUAAAAAGUCUUUCGUAGUCCGGAUUGGAGUCUGCAACUCGACUCCAUGAAGUCGGAAUCGCUAGUAAUUGCGGAUCAGCAUGCCGCGGUGAAUACGUUCUCGGGUCUUGUACACACCGCCCGUCACACCAUGGAAGUGGAUUGCACCAGAAGUAGAUAGUCUAACCUUAGGGAGGGCGUUUACCACGGUGUGCUUCAUGACUGGGGUGAAGUCGUAACAAGGUAACC